GCGCCCGUAGCUCAGCUGGAUAGAGCAACGGCCUUCUAAGCCGUGGGUCGCAGGUUCGAAUCCUGCCGGGCGUG
rfam:Marinobacter lutaoensis strain T5054 DSM17466_contig_1, whole genome shotgun sequence.